rnacentral:rRNA from 1 species
AUGUUCGAGUAUCUAAAUGUUGUCAGCAAGAUGUUUGAUAGUGAGGCUGAAGGCUAUGAAUUCUACAACAAAUAUGCUCUUGAAAAAGGUUUUAGUGUGAGGAAAAGCUACGUUGAGUGGGAUGGAUCCAACAAAUACAUAAUUUUAAGGAAAAUUGUGUGUAGUCGUCAAGGGUUUCGCGAAGAGAAGCACAUGAAAAGAAAGAUGGAAGAUAGAAAGAGGAGGCCACGUAGUUUAACUCGUGUUGGGUGUAAUGCUAAAUUGGUCAUUGCAAGACAGGAGGAAACCGGUCGGUGGUUUGUCAAGGAUUUCAUCGAUGAGCACAGCCAUCCUCUAGCCCCACGGGAUCUUUCUUGUCUGCUGCGUUUGCACAGACGAAUUAGCGAUGAGCAGAAAGCGGACAUUGCGGACAUGGAAAAAUGUGGGAUCCGCAAAUACCGUAUUAUGGAUAUUUUGUGCUUUCAAUACGGUGGAUUUGAUAAGGUUGGAUGCAUAAAGAGGGACAUUAAUUUCUGCCAUGCUAAUAAGCAGGAGACAAUCAGUGCCGGUGAUGCUAAUACCGUGAUCAUGCACAUGAUGGCGAGGCGAGAGCGAGAUGGAUUUUUCUUCAAGUACUUGGUAGACGAGCAUGGCCAUCUGAAGGGACUGUUCUGGGCUGAUAGUCAAUCGCGACUUGACUACGAGGCUUUCGGAGACGUCAUUGUUUUCGAUAGCACACACAGAACAAACAAAUACAAUCUGCCAUUCGUGUCGUUUGUCGGGUUGAAUCACCACCGGAGCACUGUCAUUUUUGGCUGUGGUAUAAUUUCUCAUGAAACAAGCCAGUCAUACGAGUGGAUGUUGCGGACCUUUUCUGAUUGCAUGGCACAGAAGCAUCCGAUAUCUGUGAUCACAGAUGGGGACCUUGCAAUGCAGAGAGCAAUCAGGGUGGCCUGGCCAGACUCAAACCAUAGACUAUGUAUAUGGCACAUUUAGCAAAACAUUGUACGCCAUCUGCAUGAUGACGACGUAAAGGAGGAAUUCAGAUCUUUCAUUUAUGAUACUUCUUCCAUUGAAGAGCAUGAGAUAGAAUGGAUAUACUUCUUACAACGGAAUAAAGUAACCAGUGAGGAGUCUUGGCUGCAUCAGAUGUAUCAAGUGAGAAAGUUGUGGUGUGCUCCAUAUCUUGAGGGGCGUUGUUUCCUAGGAUUGAGCAGCAAUAAGAGGAGUGAGAGCUUGAACUCUGUGCUACAUACGCAUCUUGAGGGUAAGAUGUCGUUGUUUGAAAUGCUAGAGCACUAUGAGCGUUGCCUUGCGUCGCGACGAAACGAAGCUCUCCAUGACAUCGAAGCCUUGCAGUCCGUUCCAUUUACAGAGGAAAAUGCUUCGCCGCUUGAGAAACACGCCGCAACAGUUUUCACACCUAGUGUCUUUAAGAUGGUCUUAUGGAGCAUAGAUGCUGUCAGCAAAUGUCAGAUCAGAGAGAUACUAGAUGGAUCAGAAGAUUCCACUUAUGUUGUGUCCAAGCAGGAAAGAAUGGAUAAAAAGUUUGGAGUGCGCAUUGAAGAGCAAGGAGGUCUUUUGCACAGGGUAAGUUGUUCUUGCCGUAAGCUGGAAUGCGCAGGCACACCAUGUUCCCACAUUUUUUACAUAUUGGGGAUUUUAAAACAAACAAUUCUGCCCAGUUGUUGCGUUCUCACUAGGUGGACUAUGAAUGCAAAAUGUGCAUACGCACCUAUCAGAAAAAACCAGAUGUAUGACUAUUCGGUAAGCCUGCAGAGGUACCGCGAGUUGCGGAAUUGUAGUCACGCCGCAAGUUUCAAGGCAUGCCACUCUGAUGAGGACUAUCACCAUCUAAUUAUGCUUUUGCAAGCACAACAUCAUGACAAGCAAUCAAGUUUUGAACAAGCUGACAGCAAGGAGUCAACUAAUGCUCAGCAUAACAACAUUAGGUUUGGCCCGUUGAUGCCGCACUCGGAGAAAGUUGAUAAGGUUCUGGAUCCCGUGCAUGUGCCAGGCCGAGGUGCACCGAAGAAAAGGCUGCAGCCAAAGACAAAGAAGUCAAGAUCACAGAAUAUCUGUCGCUAUUGCAAGAAUCCUGGUCACAAUCGACGUAAAUGCGCUAAAUUGCUAGAGGUACGAAAUAUGUUCAUAUUUAUUUUUUGCAUGUGUUUUACUCAUAAUUGA